rnacentral:rRNA from 1 species
UACAGAGGUCUCGAGCGUUAGGCGGAAUCACUGGGCUUAAAGCGUGUGUAGGCGGAUCGGUAAGUACCUUGUGAAAUCCCACAGCUUAACUGUGGAACUGCUUGGUAUACUGCCAGUCUUGAGCCACUUAGGGGCUACCGGAACAAAUGGUGGAGCGGUGAAAUGCGUAGAUAUCAUUUGGAACGCCAAUGGUGAAAACAGGUAGCUGGGAGUGUGCUGACGCUGAGACACGAAAGCCAGGGGAGCAAACGGG